GUGCACAGUCACACACACAAACUGAAACAGUUUGCUAAAGAGGUCAGGCGAGUCAACACCACAGAUUUGGAGAGGUUACACAAAAACAAGAGCACCUGAGCCAAUGCAUGAGAAAGAGGGAGAUCAGGGCUAAGCACGCUGACUCAUUCCCUUCGGAUGAUGGACCCAUGGGAAAGGAUGCUGCUGGCGAUGGAGAAGGAUCUCUUAUCUCUUACCUUUCAUUAUCCCACGGGUGAAAACAGAAAGAGAGUGGCAAGAUGAAACAGGAAAGAUAAGGCCAACAGCUUUGGAUAACAGAAAACCACGGCAGAAACAGACAAUGAGAAAACACCAGAUGACAACCAUGAUUAGCGUGUGAGAUGUUUUAUAGGUGAUAAAUCAUUGCAUAUACUGGACCACAACCACGCAGAACCCAUUACAGUUUCAUAGAUUUAAAAAAAAAAAAAAGUGCCUAGAGUGUGGUGCUUUGAGAUACGACCGUCUGAAAAUGUUUUGACUAAGCAUAAGGUCACAGUCUGACUUUCCAUAAUGCUUACAAGAGAACGAGCAGUGCAUUGUCUUAUCAGUGCACAAACACUCCUUCGCUAUCACUAUUUUAAGCAAUAGUUCAUCCAAAAAUAAGCAUGCUUUCAUUAUUUACUCACGAUCAUGCUUUCGAAACUCAUAUGACUUUUUUCUUCCAUGGAGAUAAUGUUAAAUAGAAUGUUCAAGCUUUUCUUUUGUAUUAUGGAAGUGUAUGGUACUAAAAAUACCCUUAGUAACAAAAACUAAAAAAUAAAAAUGGUCAGAAAUUCACCAUGAAAAUUGCGGUGACAAUGUUUCAGAUAUUGCAGGCUGGCAUAUAGGUGCCUGUUUAUUCUACAUGUUAUAACUGUAUAUUUAAUCAAGUGGUAUAAUGUUAAUAUAUCUACUCAAAAAUAAGAUACCCAAAACACCAUCAUGCUAAAAUUAAAAUAAUACAAUAAACAUUAACUAAAUAUCAUAAAAUGCAACACAUAACUCCCUAUUGUACAUUAAUGAUAAAAAAAUAAGAAGAAACUGAAUUAAUUAAAUAAAACUUAAUCCUAUGUUUCAUGCUGAGACUUCUGUGAAUGUCCUUGUACUGUUAUCACCAAUAAUUAUACGGUACAAUUUUUGCUAGCAAAAUCCAUAAAUUUGAUUACAUGUAAUAGAAACGCUAAACCAUUCACAGUUUUUAACUUUAUAUGGUAAAUUAAUGUUUGCUAAUAUGUAUGCUAAUGUAGCUAAUAUUAUUCAACAAAUUUUUACUGUAGCAUUAUUGUAAUAUUGUGCAUGAGUCUAUCUUUUUCAUUGUGAACAUUCCUCAAAAUAUCUUCUUUUAUUUUCCUCAGAAGAAAGAAAGACAACAUGAGGGUGUGAGUAAAUGCUGACAGAAUUUUUUUAUUUUUGGGUGUACUGUCCCUUUAACUACUGUACCUGACUUCUGUUGUCUCUCAAUACAUGUCUUUCUAUGCUCUCUGGUGUUCUCCUGUUCCCAGAGGAGUGAGUGAGGACAUGACAGAGGGAUCAGCAGAUGCCAGGCAGCAGCGACUAACACGCAUCUUUGCAAUAUUUUAAACAAUAUCAGACAAAUAAUGUAUUUAGCAACUUCAGUUGCAUUGUGCCAUGUCAAGAUAAAUGAAUAAAUUCUAUUAUAUAUUUGGAUUUAAUUAUGCCUUCAGAAAGAUAAAAAACAAACAUAAAAAGUCUUAAAAAAAAGAAAAGAGGAGACUAACUUUUCUUGAACACUUAAUUCACUGAUGUCACUAUUUAAACUAUUUAUUAAUUAGUUUUAUUUU
rnacentral:lncRNA from 1 species